CCCUAGCCCUGAUGAAAGCGACAUCCUUUAUGUUUUUUCUUUAAAAACAUAAAGAUAUAGCGGACAGCGGGAAAUAGC
rnacentral:sRNA from 1 species